rnacentral:rRNA from 1 species
UAAUACCAGCUCUCCGAGUGGUGGGGACGUUUAUUGGGCUUAAAGCAUUCGUAGCCGGCUGGGCAAGUCCUUCGUUAAAUCCAACGAUCCAAUCGUUGGGCUGCGGGGGAUACUGUCCGGCUAGGAGGCGGGAGAGGCCGACGGUAUUUCCGGGGUAGGAGUGAAAUCCUAUAAUCCCGGGAGGACCAUCAGUGGCGAAGGCUGUCGGCUGGAACGCGCUCGACGGUGAGGGAUGAAAGCUGGGGGAGCGAACCGGAUUAGAUACCCGGGUAGUCCCAGCUGUAAACUUUGCAGGCUGGGUGUUGGUGUGGCUACGUGCCACUCCAGUGCCGUAGGGAAACUGUUAAGCCUGCCGCCUGGGAAGUACGGUCGCAAGGCUG